rnacentral:rRNA from 1 species
AUUGAACGCUGGCGGCAUGCUUUACACAUGCAAGUCGAACGGUAACAGGCCUUCGGGCGCUGACGAGUGGCGAACGGGUGAGUAAUGCAUCGGAACGUGCCCAGUCGUGGGGGAUAACGCAGCGAAAGAGUGGCUAAUACCGCAUGAGAUCUACGGAUGAAAGCAGGGGAUCGCAGGACCUUGUGCUACUAGAGCGGCCGAUGGCAGAUUAGGUAGUUGGUGGGAUAAAAGCUUACCAAGCCGACGAUCUGCAGCUGGUCUGAGAGGACGAUCAGCCACACUGGGACUGAGACACGGCCCAGACUCCUACGGGAGGCAGCAGUGGGGAAUUUUGGACAAUGGGCGCAAGCCUGAUCCAGCAAUGCCGCGUGCAGGAUGAAGGCCUUCGGGUUGUAAACUGCUUUUGUACGGAACGAAAAGCCCUGGGUUAAUACCCUGGGGUCAUGACGGUACCGUAAGAAUAAGCACCGGCUAACUACGUGCCAGCCGCCGCCGUAAAAC